rnacentral:rRNA from 1 species
UCCGUAGGCGGUGUGGCAAGUCGGUAGUGAAAUCUCUCGGCUUAACUGAGAGGCUGCUGCCGAAACUGCCAUGCUCGAGUGCGAGAGAGGCGAGUGGAAUUGCGGGUGUAGCGGUGAAAUGCGUAGAUAUCCGCAGGAACAUCCGAGGCGAAAGCGGCUCGCUGGGUCGCAACUGACGCUGAGGGACGAAAGCUAGGGGAGCAAACAGGAUUAGAUACCCUGGUAGUCCUAGCCCUAAACCAUCAGGACUUGGGGUUUGCCCUGUACGGGGCAAGUCCCGGAGCUAACGCGUUAAGUCCUGCGCCUGGGGAGUACGGUCGCAAGGCUGAA